UUUUCCUUAGCAACAAAGUUCUUACCAACAUAGAAUCUGAGAGUGCCUGACUAUACAAUCAUUAAUAUUUAGUUGGCAUUACUACCUAAAAGUUCUGCAGUUCUGUGAAUUGUUUAUUUAUGAGCAAUGCUCAUUUUUAAAUUUGAGAAUUAACAUUUAUUUUUGUGAAUCUCUAUGGUGAACUGCCUUCUAAGGUGCAUGGGUCCAGUGAACUGCUGAUCUUUACUUAUCUUCCAGGGGGGUGUGAAUUUGCACCUGAAUUGAACUUUUAAGAUCAAUAAUAGAGAGGAAGAACCACUGCAACUAAUACCUUUUUCCGCUCACAAAGUAUUCAGCCUUGCUUCUUAAGAAAUGUUUAAUAAAUAUUUAAAGAAAACCA
rnacentral:lncRNA from 12 species